rnacentral:rRNA from 1 species
UACGAAGGGUGCGAGCGUUGUUCGGAUUCAUUGGGCGUAAAGGGUGCGUAGGCGGCGCGGUAAGUCGGGUGUGAAAUUUCGAGGCUUAACUUCGAAACUGCAUUCGAUACUGCCGUGCUAGAGGACUGGAGAGGAGACUGGAAUUUACGGUGUAGCGGUGAAAUGCGUAGAUAUCGUAAGGAAGACCAGUGGCGAAGGCGGGUCUCUGGACAGUUCCUGACGCUGAGGCACGAAGGCCAGGGGAGCAAACGGG